rnacentral:rRNA from 1 species
UGGGGAAUAUUGCACAAUGGGCGCAAGCCUGAUGCAGCCAUGCCGCGUAUAUGAAGAAGGCCUUCGGGUUGUAAAGUACUUUCAGCGGGGAGGAAGGCGAUAAGGUUAAUAACCUUGUCGAUUGACGUUACCCGCAGAAGAAGCACCGGCUAACUCCGUGCCAGCAGCCGCGGUAAUACGGAGGGUGCAAGCGUUAAUCGGAAUUACUGGGCGUAAAGCGCACGCAGGCGGUCUGUCAAGUCGGAUGUGAAAUCCCCGGGCUCAACCUGGGAACUGCAUUCGAAACUGGCAGGCUAGAGUCUUGUAGAGGGGGGUAGAAUUCCAGGUGUAGCGGUGAAAUGCGUAGAGAUCUGGAGGAAUACCGGUGGCGAAGGCGGCCCCCUGGACAAAGACUGACGCUCAGGUGCGAAAGCGUGGGGAGCAAACA